ACCAUUAUGAAACAAGAAAAAACUUGGGAUGGCCAUUACACCUUGCAUAGUGCUCAAGCUAAAUAAGGUAUAGGCAUCAAUUGCAUAAAAAGAAAGCAUGGGAAAUCCUCGAGGCAGUGCAUUCAAGUGGGGAGCAGCCUGUAUACUAAAUGGACACCAUGAAGCGAAGAACACCACUAUUUGACAUGUUGCUGGUUGAGUUCUUGAAGUGAUAUUUUGAUUUUGUUUCAGUACAGACAAUAAAGUUGUUCCAUUGACAAUCUAAACAGUUCAAUAAAGUUUAAAU